rnacentral:misc_RNA from 1 species
AAUUUAAAGAACAAUAGACUAUUGUUUGCAAAAAAUAAUAAAUGAGAAUCAAUGGUGCUUCCCUUGCCACCUUACAUCCAUGAAUCAAACCUCUGCUUUCCCUACUCCUCAACAAUGAAAAUAAUCCUUCUACACAAAUAAUAAACAAGUACGGGGACAGUGGAUCGCCUUGGUGUAACCCUCUUUGUGGAUGAAUUGGCCCAGUCUCCCGUCCUUCUUAGAGAACUGAAUAGGAUAGUGUAGUGACACACAUCAU